CAGGCACCGCUGAAGGCAGCCCCUAUUGAGAGCUGCUAGGGCCCGGGGUCCUAGGUUUCUAUGACGACGCAAGGCAUUCCAAGAAAAGGCGAGGCUGCCCGCGCCCGGCGGGAAACACAUUUUGCUGGUACAGCUUUCAAGUGUCCGUUUCCCUUCGGUUUAAAUGAAGAAACGAUGAAAACCCAGGCUGCCAGACCCCUGAGUCCGCGAGGGCACUGCUUGUGGGAGAGGUUGGAGUCCCUAACUGACUGCCUAGAGCGCGCCACCGAGCUGCUGGCUGCCAGUGCGUAGGGUCAUCGGGUAGGGUGUGCGGGUGUGUCCUUCCCGGCCUGUGCUGGGACCCUGACGCCCCUGCAAGCUUCUGAGUCAGGACAGAUGGGCCGAGAGAUCACGGAGGACUCCAAAAGAGGGACAGUGUAGUAACCUGAAAGUCCCAGAAGUGCCAGUAGCAGACUGAUUUAUUUCUGAGUUAUCUUUCUGGAGGAAUACGUCACAUUACUAAAAAGAGUGAUAGGAAGCAUUAUUAUGUCUCUCCCGAAAACGCCAACCUCACCGUUAAUCUCCCCAGCAUCUUCUGACCCUAGGAAGUCAAAAGUAUCUGCCGUUAAGGAGACAAGAGGUGAUCACAGAUAUGGAUCUUCCUGUAGUGCAACCAGACAGAAACAGCCCUGUCAGCACCUUGAUUUUAGCCCGGCAAGACCUGCAUUGGCCCUCUGACCUACAGAACUGGGAUAAUAAAUCUGUGUUGCUUAAGCUAAGUUUGCAGUAACUCAUUAUGGCAGAAAUAUGUAUAUGCCCAAUUAAUAGUAACAAGAGGAAACUUGCCCAGCAAUCUCAAACAUCCAGAGCACAGCACCAAAAUACCAAUGACAAAGUGAAUAUUUUUGUCAGCUCUGUCAGAGCUCAAUGCAAAAAUAAAUCACUGUAUAUAUUUCAAGUAGGAAAAAGCUAAAGGUGGAAACCUGAGUGUGUAUAAAAUCGUUGGAAGGGUUAAAGGAGUUGGUGUAAGCAGUUUCUGUCGGAAAAACUCCCAGUUUGGGCAGAGUUGACUCCACAAAGAGGCAACUCCCUCCAAAGCAGCCACAAGAGCUCUUGUUCAAGAAUGUACCCCUCUGAGCAGACAUUUGUCCAAAGCGCAUACAAUUAGUUAAUUGAUUACUCUGUUUUUUCUUUGUGCCCUUUUCUCUCUCUCUCCCUCUUUCUCUCUUUCUUUUUUUCUUCUUUCUCUUCCUCCUCCUUCCUCCCUCCUCCUUCCUCCCUCCUCUUCAUCCUCUUUCUCCUUCUGGCUCCAUAGAGAUUUCUUUCUUUUUUCCUGUCUCUAUACUGCCCUGGGAAGAAAUUACAGAAAUGAGUAACAUAGAUCAGGACAGGA